ensembl:ncRNA lncRNA:CR46245 long non-coding RNA:CR46245
UGAUCGAUUUUUGUAUGAUCGAUUUUAAUUGCAGUGCAAAAGCGCUGCCACAUCGAAGUGGAAGGAGCUGGGUUCCUUCGGAUAUUUGCAAGAAAUGGCAGUUAAGUCCGUCCAGGUGGUGCCUGGCAUCUGUGUCUGGUCCUUGCCAGCGGUCUCCUUUUGCCUUUUUCCCUUUCUCUCACUGGUUUUCUUUUUUUGUUUUUUACUUUCUUCUUCGUUUUGUUUUUCCUCCUUUUUUCUUUUUGUUGUUUUUAGCUCCUUCACUUAUUUUGCUUACAUGAGUGGAAGCGACAGGAAUGCUCAGCGCUGUCCUCAGUUCGAGUCCUGGCUAAAAAAGGAGCAGGGCCGUGGAGGACAUGGCUGGGCGGUGGUCUGGUGCUCUGCUGGUUGGGUGGGUGGUGGUUGCGGUUAGCAAGGACCCAACUAGGACAAAAGAGCAAUACUAUUCACACACACACAUAUACAUGGGGGGCAUACAUAUGUAGCAGGCGCGGCACAUAAGGAUUGCCAUCACAUAUACAUACUACUCCUUUCCUCGCUCCCUCUCUCUAUCGCGUUAAUGCUCGCUCUCCCUCUUCACUCGGUCGCUGUCUCUAUCCCAUAUGUAUUCGACUGUCCCCACGACAGUAUCCCCUGAAGUCGCCCCAGCUUCCCUUUCAGUCCCCAUUUCAGCCCGCAUCUGCCCACCCGUCGAGAUCCUCGCACAAAAAUGAAACACCGCAAAGCGUGUUGCCUGACAUGUGAUUGACGACGACGUUUAUAGUGGAUACACACACACACACACACACACACACUCGCGCAAAUCUACGCUAGGGUGGACCUUCAAUCAAAUGUUGGACAUCACAGUCUUUGAAAAUUCUUUGAGGUGGAGUCUUACAAGUUAACUAAUCCACAAUUUGUUUCAAAUCAGAUAAAUGUCAGUAUUUUUACACGCUUUAUAUAUUCUAUUAUUACCAACUUGAUU